rnacentral:rRNA from 1 species
UUAACAACUUCGAAUUUUAUAAAACAAAUUAAUAACCAAAAUCGCUGUUGUUAGUUACCAAAAAAUAAUCAAGAUGGGAUUUUUGAGUAAAUGUCACUAAACUAUACAAAUUGCUAUUUUCUAUCACACAAUGGAUGUCUUUCUUUUAUGCAGAAGUGUCCCGUUUUUCGAUUUGCAUGGAAGUGCAUUGUGUCGAAAUACUAUCACAGAGCUGUCAAGGAAGAUUCUGAAUGUAAACAAGAAACUCCCCAUCUGGAGGCCGAAGCUUCGAAGCAGUGCUUCACUUAUAGUGCGGAGUUAGCUCCUCCUCCCUUUCUUACCUCCAUGGUGCCGGUUGACAUAUAAAAUUACGAAGAAUGCGACGAAUGAUCACCCUUCCUUGAAGUAUCCGUUUCACAACUAGAUGUUUGACGUUUUUUAAACAUGCCACCCGCAAACGAGGUAAUGAUUAAAAGAGACAGACUGGGGGCAUUAGUAUAUUGACGCUAGAGGUGAAAUUCUUGGAUCGUCGCAAGACGAACUACUACGAAAACAUCUGCCAAGAAUGUUUCCAUUAGUCAAGAAGGAAAGUUAGAGGUUCGAAGGCGAUCAGAUGGAUAGGACUUGCCCAAGCAGCUUGCUCCUGCUUUGUUGUAUGGGAUGUAAAACUCCUCUGACCUAAGGUCUCGUAUCCCCUUGGCCGAGGAGCGCAGCACUUAAGAUUUUCGUCGAGGACGGGAGAGACGAUGCUAAAAAAAGGUUGUUGCAUGACCGCCCUAGUUCUCGGCGAUCUGGCUGUGUUCCUCAAAUGACACGCCGGGCAGCUUCCAGGAAAUCUAAGCUUUUAGGUU